rnacentral:rRNA from 1 species
AGCUCUCCGAGUGGUAGGGGUGAUUAUUGGGCUUAAAGCGUCCGUAGCCGGCCUGGCAAGUCUUCCGUUAAAUCCAGCAACCUAAUUGUUGGGCUGCGGGGGAUACUGUUAGGCUUGGGGGCGGGAGAGGCCGACGGUAUUCUCGGGGUAGGGGUGAAAUCUUAUAAUCCCGAGAGGACCACCAGUGGCGAAGGCUGUCGGCUAGCACGCGCCUGACGGUGAGGGACGAAAGCUGGGGGAGCGAACCGGAUUAGAUACCCGAGUAGUCC